UGGAAGCCUGGGGAACCCAGAUGUUUCUCUGAGGUCCUGGGUAACUCAUCAAUAGCAAGAGGCAUUUAGGUAGAGGUUUCCCAGCUGUGAUUCCAACGCCCACAUCGUACCCUAGUUCCCUUCCCCAGUCCCCAAGGACAGGAAGAAGGACCAAUAAGGGCAGUGCCUGGUUCCAUUUCAACCAUGGCUUCUCUGAUUGACUCCUUAUUACACCAAAUGACAGCUUUUAAAGCCGAGCACUGCAAAGCUCACACGAGGGCCACUAGCCUGGGUCUACCACCCCAACUUCUUUGCCUGGAGGAUCAUCGACAGCCGCUGCGGUUGACCAGAGCAGUCCAAAAUGAGCAGAGUGGGGACGGCAUGGGUGUUCCUGCUGUUGAGGAUACUUCCCUUGGUGAUGACUGAAGAUCCACGUUGGGGAAUCUUCCCAAACCCAUGCUGUUGACGAAUUCAGCACAAGUGUUCCCUCAAUUUUUCACAUCUAAUGCUUCACUGCAGUUACCCUUUUUACCAUGGGAUGGGGAAAUAGUGCCUGUGGAGGAACCAAUGCAGCUUCAGCUGAGGGAAUUGCUGUGCUUUCAAAUGAUUCAAAAUAUUUCUCAGAAAUGUGUGGUUGUUGUGUGGUGUGAAUGGUAGUUGCACAGAUCUUUCUCCUCUGAGUAUGCUAGUGGGGGGGCAUGGGGUAAUGCAAGUUUUUAUUGGAAUGGGUCUAGUGUGUUUGAAUCCUCUGUAUCUCAACUUGCUGGAGGGUUCAAUGCUUCCUUUAAGGCUACACCUGUUUGUUUGUGGCCUCCUUUUGUGUUUAUUGUUUAUAAUGGUAGUUAUGAGAAUAAUGUUGUUAAUUAUA